rnacentral:rRNA from 1 species
AGAGUGAACGCUGGCGGCAGGCCUAAUACAUGCAAGUCGAACGGCAGCACGGCAGAGCUUGCUCUGUGGGUGGCGAGUGGCGGACGGGUGAGGAAUACAUGGGAAUCUGCCCAGUCGUGGGGGAUAACGUAGGGAAACUUACGCUAAUACCGCAUGCGCCCUUCGGGGGAAAGCCGGGGACCUUCGGGCCUGGCGCGAUUGGAUGAGCCCAUGUCGGAUUAGCUAGUUGGCGGGGUAACGGCCCACCAAGGCGACGAUCCGUAGCUGGUCUGAGAGGAUGAUCAGCCACACUGGAACUGAGACACGGUCCAGACUCCUACGGGAGGCAGCAGUAGGGAAUAUUGGACAAUGGGCGCAAGCCUGAUCCAGCCAUGCCGCGUGAGUGAAGAAGGCCUGGUUGUAAGCUCUUUGUCGAAGAAAGACUCGGUCGAAUACCCGACGUCCUGACGGUACCGGAAGAAUAAGACACCGACUAACUUACCGUGCCAGCAGCCGA